rnacentral:tRNA from 1 species
AAAUAAGAAGCAAAUUAUGCAUUUAAUUUCGACUUAAAAAUUUGAGUAUAAUAUAUACUCCUUAUUUA